CAGCAGUUAAAAAAGAAAUUACAAAAAAAAACAGUUCCCUCAAUAGGACUCGAACUUGUAACCGACAGUGAUACCAACAAUAGGACCCUUAUGGAGAACAAAACGAAUUAAAAUAGCAACAAUCGGAAAUUCUUGAAAUUUGCGCUAGCUGCGGGAAACAUGUGACCAGCCAAAAUACGUUUUCUUCAAUAACUUUUGUGUUUCUUAACCGAUCUUGAUGAAAUUUUCACCAGUAGAUCUUAUUGUGCUAUAGAGUUCUCAAAAAGACAAUUGAUUAAAAUUGUGGCUCAAAUUGGGCGGCAAUGCAAAUUGGCAGGUGGUGAUAGCUAUAAAAUGAAAGUAACUUAAUAUAUAUAUACAGAGACAGUUCAGAAAGCUACAUAUCAAGUUUGAGAUUUGCUCAAAGAACAGGAUCGAUUCUUAGCGAUAACUUUGAAGCGGGACAAGUAAUCGAUUAUCGGAAAUAAACUAGGAGGAUCUACAAUUUUUGGGUGUAAAAAGAAUGAAAACCGUUGAUUGCUAGUUUUUCAUAUCAAAUGCCUUAGAUUGACAGAAAGAUGAUUUUUUUAAUUAAACAAAAAUUAUUUAAUAAUUACAAGAAAAUAGAAUAAAGUCAAUGAAAGAUAGAUAGAUUGUUAGUCAGAAGAACGCAAUGCAGGAAAUCUAGAAUUUGUUCCUGGCUUUUCGUGUUGUGCAUAGGUAAGGACUAAGGACACGCGUUCAACCGUAAAGUCAACGCCGAAAAGCGUUCUCUAAAGUAUUAUCGCUGUCGUGACGUGGCACGGUUCGUCGGCCCUCAAAGUUACAACGACUCAGAGGACACUGGCCGCGUCGCGCCGCGCCGCGUCUUCGUCUGAUGAACCGCCCUCAGACCACGCCAGGUUGUUUCCGUCGACCAACCAACACCCUAAAAGCGAAAGGGCCAGACGCCGCGCACAUCCAGAACAACGACAAGGACAAGGACAACAACCCAUCUGACUGAGGCAGAGGCAGAGGCAGAGGCAGAGACUGAGGCAGAGGCAGAGACAGAGACAGAGGCAGGGCGUCAGCCGCCUUCGCCAGCGCAUCUUGCUGCCCUUCCCAGGCAAGCUUUGUGCGUGUGCGUGUGUGUGUGUAAAGUAUGUAUGUAAGUGUGCAUAAAACUAAUAAAAUUUCCAGCCAGCAUGCAUGCACACAUACAUAUGCACAUUAACAUUGAUUCGUAUUUGUUGUGCCCUGUUCACGAUUGAAAGGAGCGUAUUCGACUAUUUCAAGUAUUUUGUGAUAUUCUCGGAUCUGAAGCUAUUUGGACAAAUAUCGGGUUUCUAUGUCAUAUAUGAUGUCACUCUCACAAGUACUCCCGACUUUAUGCUCGACACCGUGACAAAGACAAUUCUUUAUAAAUAUAUCAUUUGUGUUUUUGUGUUUGAUUUUGCGUUUGCAGAGCAACCCGAUGCAGUUAGCACAAACGCUCAAAACUGUUAUACAAGCUUACAGUUACUUUUCGUCUCCAUGUCUUAUUAACCAAUGACAAGCAGGCAGGCAGAAGAUCAAAUGAAGAGAGAAAGAGAGAACGACACAUGCACAUUGGUUCCAAAUGGAAGCUAAUAUUUAACGCGAUAACAAUCGUAACCCAAAUAUAGUGGUCGAUGGCUCGCCGCCAGCCAAAUGUCAUUGCUCCCCGCUGGCAGGCUUAACCUUGAAAGUUUAGCUGCCAGGGCAAUAACAAAGAAAAGGACGAACAAGAAACAGAAGAACUGAGGGCGCAAGCGAGAUAGCAAGCGAGACAUUGGAACAGAGAAAGUUUCAACAGGACAACAGUACACAAGCAGCCGUUAGCCUUUUUUUUUCGGCUGACUUACAGUUAGGUUAAGUUCAUUCAUUUUACACGCAUCGCGCCUUAAGUUGAAGACUGUAAAGACUAAGACAAACACAACCUGGCUGAAAAAUGUAAUUAGAAUUAUUUCAUGUGAAGAGCGCAGAAGGCAUUUUCAUAUAAUAUUAAGCAUUGUAAAAUCUUUGA